GUACGAACGCGUGGUGGCUUCAAUCUUUCGUUUCAAAUUUUUUGAACUAGGGUGCGGCUUAUCUUGGCAAGUUUAGCGUUUUUUGGUAUGUUUGCGUUCCGUGGACAGCGGUGCUGCGUCGAUCGCUCCUCCUGGAUGUCCUCGUCACUGUUGGUUCUACAGCUUGUAUUGUUUGUUUUAAUCGGUGCCGCUUUCCACGUGUUCUCUCGAGUUUUCCUCGCGUGCGUGUUCCUUACGUUACCGCUCUGGUCGUUAGUUCUAGAGCCUGCCGCUCUUUUUUCAUCGGUGCCGACCGUUUUGAUCGUUUAAUCUAGACUCUGUUGUUGUUUCUUAGCGGUGCCGCUGUUGCCGAUCGAUCCGGAAAUCUGGCCGCCUAUCGUGACCGCUUUUGUCCUGUAAAUCUACGGACCGUCUUACCAUUGUUGUUGCUAUAAAUAGGUCGCUCUUCUUGCCAUAUUAUUGCGGUAGGUUUCCUCAGCGUCGCAUGCGUUAACUCCAUGGUCCGCGGCGGCCUUCUCGCUCGCGGGGUGCUGUGGUUGGCCGGCGUGGUGGUUCGGGCCGUUCUGCUGCCUCUCAUCAUCGGCCGUUCUGUCGGGGUGGCCGUUCUGUAGGAUCUUCUGGUUCUGCAUGUGGCGCGUGCCGUUUAAAGGUUCUGGAUGCACGGCGGAUUUUGCGUCGCGAUCUGGGUCUUCUCUCACCGCUCGAGCUUUGGGCACGACCAGCAGAGGAAGACGACCGGCCAUCGGCAACGGAAGACGAGGUGGGCAGCCGCUCCAAGCACGAUAUCAUGUUCCAAGCUAGCGGAUGUCCACGGAGGCGCGAGCGACGGCGAGGGCGUUCGCGUCUGGAGGUGAUGGCUGCAGGAGGCCCCCGGAGAGUGAGACUGGACGCGAUGGUGCCAGCGAUCGGCGAGGUCCCGACGGCGCGCGGCGUGGCUUGCACCGGAGCUGGCGAGGCCAUGGCGACGGUGAGCACGGGGCACGCUGACACAGCAAGGCCAUGGAGUGGCUCAUGAAACGUGUCGAUCGGUGCAGGUCGGCCGUGGGCGUUGUGCUUCGGCAAAGCUCACGUCGCUACUGCGGCGGGUAAUCUCCGUUUGCGCCGUCUGCGCAUGAUGUACGUGUUCCGGUUCACGCAGUGCAGGGAACAUGCUGUCCGUGACCUUCCUUGGCAAGCGGACGCCAAGUUCGGUUUCGGACCAUCGCCUACGUCCUGGUCCACGACGGCGCGCGGCGGCGGCGCCCUCUUCUGUAGUGUCCAAUGUUAGUGCACUGGUCUGCGCUGCCGAGGGACGUCUCCUUGUCCCACGCCGGGGAGCAUGGGCGUCCUUCCGUUCGGCCGUCACUGCAGAACGCGGUGAGGUCUCAUCUUCCCGUUUCGAUUCAUCCCAUACUGAACACCUCCAUCCUUACCUGUAUGGUUGUAUCUCAAAUUCCUCAUGCGUGAUGAAUGAUUUUAUAGGUUCGCGUAGUUUACAUUUGCUUUUUUAGUUUGGUUGAUUCCGUGUGUAAAUGGACUUGUUGGCUGCAGUAUUUACAAUUGUAGAUGUAUGUGAGCUUACCUUUGCUCUUUCCA